CCUACGGGAGGCAGCAGUGGGGAAUAUUGCACAAUGGGGGAAACCCUGAUGCAGCAACGCCGCGUGAGUGAAGAAGUAUUUCGGUAUGUAAAGCUCUAUCAGCAGGGAAGAGAAUGACGGUACCUGACUAAGAAGCCCCGGCUAACUACGUGCCAGCAGCCGCGGUAAUACGUAGGGGGCGAGCGUUAUCCGGAUUCACUGGGUGUAAAGGGAGCGUAGACGGCCAUGCAAGCCAGGGGUGAAAGCCCGGGGCCCAACCCCGGGACUGCCCUUGGAACUGCAUGGCUGGAAUGCGGGAGGGGCAGGCGGAAUUCCUGGUGUAGCGGUGAAAUGCGUAGAUAUCAGGAGGAACACCGGCGGCGAAGGCGGCCUGCUGGACCGCGACUGACGUUGAGGCUCGAAAGCGUGGGGAGCGAACAGGAUUAGAUACCCCUGUAGUC
rnacentral:rRNA from 1 species